rnacentral:rRNA from 1 species
UACGGCUACCUUGUUACGACUUCACCCCAGUCACGAACCCUGCCGUGGUAAUCGCCCUCCUUGCGGUUAGGCUAACUACUUCUGGCAGAACCCGCUCCCAUGGUGUGACGGGCGGUGUGUACAAGACCCGGGAACGUAUUCACCGCGGCAAGCUGAUCCGCGAUUACUAGCGAUUCCGACUUCACGCAGUCGAGUUGCAGACUGCGAUCCGGACUACGACCGGGUUUCUGGGAUUAGCUCCCCCUCGCGGGUUGGCAGCCCUCUGUCCCGGCCAUUGUAUGACGUGUGUAGCCCUACCCAUAAGGGCCAUGAUGACUGACGUC